AAAGACGUGAAAGAUGGAGCCUUAGGUUAGCUCCCCACUUUCUGCUGCCAGAACCUAGAUUCAAAGAGCUUCAGAGG
ensembl:misc_RNA